GCAUAUCAAUAAGCGGAGGAAAAGAAACUAACAAGGAUUCCCCUAGUAACUGCGAGUGAAGCGGGAAAAGCUCAAAUUUAAAAUCUGGCGGUCUUUGGCCGUCCGAGUUGUAGUCUGGAGAAGCGUCUUCCGCGUUGGACCGUGUACAAGUCUCUUGGAACAGAGCGUCAUAGAGGGUGAGAAUCCCGUCUUUGACACGGACUACCAAUGCUUUGUGAUGCGCUCUCAAAGAGUCGCGUUGUUUGGGAAUGCAGCGCAAAAUGGGAGGUGAAUUCCUUCUAAAGCUAAAUAUUGGCGAGAGACCGAUAGCGAACAAGUACCGUGAGGGAAAGAUGAAAAGCACUUUGGAAAGAGAGUUAAACAGUACGUGAAAUUGCUGAAAGGGAAACGCUUGAAGUCAGUCGCGUCGUCCGGAACUCAGCCUUGCUUCGGCUUGGUGCACUUUCCGGUUGACGGGCCAGCAUCGAUUUUGACCGCUGGAAAAGGGCUGGAGGAAUGUGGCACCUUCGGGUGUGUUAUAGCCUUCAGUCGCAUACAGCGGUUGGGAUCGAGGAACGCAGCACGCCUUAUGGCUGGGGUUCGCCCACAUUCGUGCUUAGGAUGCUGGCAUAAUGGCUUUAAACGACCCGUCUUGAAACACGGACCAAGGAGUCUAACAUGCCUGCGAGUGUUUGGGUGGAAAACCCGAGCGCGUAAUGAAAGUGAAAGUUGAGACCUCUGUCGUGGAGGGCAUCGACGCCCGGACCUGAAGUUCUCUGACGGAUCCGCGGUAGAGCAUGUAUGUUGGGACCCGAAAGAUGGUGAACUAUGCCUGAAUAGGGUGAAGCCAGAGGAAACUCUGGUGGAGGCUCGUAGCGAUUCUGACGUGCAAAUCGAUCGUCAAAUUUGGGUAUAGGGGCGAAAGACUAAUCGAACCAUCUAGUAGCUGGUUCCU
rnacentral:rRNA from 1 species